GAUCAAUUGUUGAUAGCAUACAUUGGCUUUAAAAGACAGGCUAUAUUAGCAUAGAUGAAUGGUGUAUAUAGUGCUUGCCCGUUAACCAUUGCUCGAGUCUUAUACCUGCCGUCAACAGGAAGGAAAGAACCUAUGACCCAGGCGGACGAACAACCUAGCCGUACACUGCAGACAGGACCAGAGGCCUAUAGAGGAACAAAAAUAAUCAAGCGACUGUAUGUAAAACAAUAAGCAGAUGGUACACCACUGGGAGAGACUGUAUUUGAUACAUAUAACAAUUGAGCAUAUUUUUGGAACACCAACUGGACCAUGAAACAAACAUAUAUAGCAAGCCAAGAAAAGGAGGAAUCAUGAUGCCACAAUGAAAAGAGUAAGUCCAAUGGACACAACUACAGAAGUACAUGUCAUAGGACAAGAUGCAAAAUCUAUAUAUCAAUUAGAUAUAGAAACAAAAACAGGAAAGAGUAAUCAUAAUGAUCUGAGUAUGUUGUAGAUUUCCUACUGAAAUUAUAAUUUAAUCAAUUUAAUGUCAAGAGAAAUGCAAUGAGGAAAGGGCCUGUAACAUGGAGCUGGUCCAACCCAGCCUCUCUAAUUCAUGAAACAGUAAGUUAAUUGUCACAGUCUUCUAGUUAUUAAUGGUCCUGCGUCACUAAUCUCAACCAACGCCAAAAGUUUGUGAUCCCAUGAAUGUACUAAGCGAUUUCCAUCAAGCCUAGACCAGCUCUCUUAGAUACCCCUGCCAAAAAUAGGAAAAUGGAACUAUGAAUACUCUCAGCUUACACAAAAUAAAAAACUAUGCAGGACAUGAUAGACACUUAGAAUUGCAAAGUUCAUUCGAUGUCAUAAAGCAAAAGACUAAGAACCAUUAUGUACCAACCUGGACGUUGCCUCUUACUCCCUUAGAUAUCAUGGUUCAACAAAUAAACCUCUUACUCCCUAGAAAUAGUAAAUCCUGCCUUCAUCAAUUACAGGGAGGAGCUUCCAACUGGAUUUGAAGGACCAUUUGUAUUAUACCCCCCCUAUACCAGUAUAAAAAACAACAAUCUUUUCACCAUCAAUAGUUAUCCUGCAACAUC
rnacentral:lncRNA from 1 species